UGUCUAUCUGUCUCUCUCUCUCUCUCUGCCUGCAGCGGUUUAAACAGGAACUUUAACAGUCCGUUGGUCACUGCGCCCAUAAACGUCCAUGACAGCAAAUCUUCCUGCAGACACGCCCAGGUGCCAGCCCAGAAUCUAAAUGGACAGCCAGAGGAUAGAGAUUCCCCCAUGGAGCUGGGUCAGCGUGUAAAUCAGCCAUCCAGAAGUAGGCCAAAGGACAGCCUGCACCAUGCAUCUAACCUGCUGGAGACCCGGCACUUUGUUUGAGUGAUUGUGUGUCUUUGAGUGAACUUCCACAGCAGCGGGUGCAUGUGUGGAAAUACAGAUUACAAAAAAACUCUCUUAGUUUUGAAGGCAUUUUACCAGUCUCUUCCGAGGGUUAGGAAAUGCAUCUAGUCAAUGGAAGGCCUCCUCAAAAAUGUAGUAAUACAAAUCUGUGUGUCUAUGUGUGUGUGUGUGUGUAUGUGAGGGGGCCGGUUCUAAUCAAUAAACAGACAGUUAAAUAAUUUCUUCGUAGGCACUAUUAGCCUGAAUCAGGAUCGCCUCAGAUCAGAAGAUCGAACUACAACACGGAAAGGAACCGAUGGCUUAUCCAAUUAAAAAUGAAUAAUACGAACAGAAAAUGUGCACUGAGCCUACAUAGGUCAAACAAGAAAUACCAAAUGAGCUGUGCUGUCUGCUGCCUCUCAAUACAUCCGGAGGAGAAAGAGAGAGAGAGAAGAGUGAGAAGCAGCACAACAACACAGAGUUUCCCAAAUGAGCUGUUUGCCUGCCACGCUUCGGGGCUCUUCCAUUGUUGCUGUGUUUAGAAAUAGUCUCAGCUAGGUUAUUUUAAAAUUAGCUGCUGCUUAAACCUUUGCUGCGUGCCACGAGAAGUGCCACCUUGAUUAAAGUGCACAGUGAUGACUUCAA